AUGAUUGGGAUCACCCAACUCCCCUCAAGCUCGGCAAGUGAUCCAGGUGAUAGGAAAUUUUGGGAUGUGAUCUCGAAAUCCCGCGUGCCGGAGAAAGUCAAGAUUUUUGGCUGGCGAGUGGCAACUAAUUCGUUAGCCACAAAGCACAAUCUUUUCAGAAGGACAAUUGUUAACGAAGAUGUGUGUGACAUCUGUGGAAUGGAGAGAGAGGACGAGUUCCAUGCAGUCAUCACAUGUACCAAAAGCAAAGCCCUGCGUUGUGCUCUAAGGACAAAAUGGGAAAUCCUGAAAGAGUGUGAGUUCAGAUUCACAGGAAGAGAUUGGCUGCAGAUGCUUCUAUUGAAGAACCCAGAGAUGAUCAGAAGCCGGAUUCUGCUAAUACUUUGGAAGGCUUGGCAUCUAAGAAAUAAUAUAGUUCAUGGGGAUGGGAGAGAAACAGUGAAGGGAGCGGUGCAACAGCUGAUUAGACUCGAGGAGGAUGUGCACACGGCCAUGCAGAAGGAAGCACGGGACAACAGUAAAAAUACAGUAUCCCUGUUCUGUAGCAAUCCUUGCAAACCAGUCUCGUUAGUGUCCAAUCAGUGGGAAGCACCCAAUUCGGGUACGGUGAAACUGAAUUGCGAUGCGGCAUUUGACGCUGAGACUGGAGACACGUGGGGGGCGCAGUCGCCAGAGACCACAGGGGGCUGGUUUUUGUGGCUGUCGGGCGGCGCCUGA
rnacentral:rRNA from 1 species